UGUUGCAAGGACUAAAGGAGGUGGAAGGCAGAGGAGCAUGCCUUUGUGGACACAGUCAUGGACUGCCCACCUGUGCUGGGACCCAUACUUGAUUUUUCAUGGGCUGUGGGGAGCCCUGAACCUUUCAUAUGAAAGCUUUGAAGACUUCUGAUGUGUGCUUGUGCCCGUGAAGUGAUCCCUAUGCACACUACGAGGAGUCCUUGCAGUUGAAGGCAUAAUGCCUCCUCUAGCUCUGGAGCAAUAAAAUAAAUUCCUAGGUAAAACCAAACAAUUUUUCUUGGCCCUGAUGAAGAAGCCAUGCACGUGGAGGAGAUUCCACAUCCAAGAUGUAGCCUUGAGCACUGCUGACUGAGAUAGAGCUCUGAUGAGGAUAUUGUCCGGGAAGGGAUACAGUGAACUCCCGGAUGGCAUUGAUGUUACAUCCUCCUCUUCCAAUGACUCUGGAAAUUACUGUUGAUGGGACAGAAACCUUCUUUGAUCUAUACAGCAAAAAAAAGUAUUAAGUCAGCUGGAGAAGUUUCAAUGAUCUGAAAUAAGUGUUGAAGGCAACCCUCAAUAUGGAAAACUGCAAGAAAUCUCUAAGUGCAGCAAACAUCUCCCAGUAGCAGAAGGCAGGGAGAAGGUGUAACAAAUUAAAAAGAGGAUCUGAACUCAAGAUUAAUCACAACAGCAUGAGAGAUAAUGACAUCAACAUCUCAAGUGGAAGCAGGGAGGUGUCCUUCCUUGCCUUGUCAGAAAACUCUUGCAGGAUGAACAAAAACCCUGACCUCAGGUGUUAGUAGACAAGUAAAAAACUAAUUUUCAAAUCAUUUGUUUUUAACAUGUCAUUUUUAAAAUCAACUACAUAUUCUGUUAUUUCUAGUCUACCCCUGAGAAAUGCUGAAGAAUCAACAAUUGCCACUGAUAGCUGUGGGUACCUCUGAUUUUUUUUCAUUGUUACCUUAGUUUUAAAUUUCUCAUUAAAAAAGGGAAAAUUUUAAAAGUCAUUUCAUCAGUUGACGUUAUAAAAGUGGUUCCACUUUCAGUCGGUUCAAACUUAAGUAAUCAAGGUGAAAAACUGGUGACUUUCCAUUUGAUGAGACAAAUGUCAAAGACAUGGUGAGCUAAAUUAAUUUCUGGUGUAACUCAAGUGACACAAUCCCUGAGUCUUAGUAAGUCAAACAUUCCAUGGAGAGACACCAUGAAGUCUCUGGGAUACACAGCAGAUACGUUCUAGUUUGCUGAAUAUUGUAUUGAGCCAAAUUAAUCUCCAGUAUUGUGGCAGCUUGAAUUCAGAAUUCGCAACUUAAAUUGUACAACAUUUUUGAAGUUUACCUAUUUGUACUACGUUCCCUAUUUACAAAUAAAAAUGGGUUCUUUUAACAUUAGUGGUUCAGAACUCUGAAAUUUAAUUUAAACAAACUCAAACAAACUGAAAACCUUCCACACGUGCAACUCCCACAGACUUCACUGGAUAUUGCAAACACACAGCUUGUAGAAUUGGGACCAACGAAUGUUAAAAAUAUUUGAUUCAGAUGUAAAUUGUAAAUAAAUCUAGCCUUUCAUAAAAGGAAAUGUUCAGAUAGUGCACCCCCAAAAUAGAAUCAUGAAUCCUCAAUAUUUAAAUGGAGUUACAUGUAAUUAUAUAUCAUUUUAAAAUGUAAACUAAAUUUAAGUUCUAUUUAAAUUUAGUAUGUGUAAUUACAUGUAAUUACAGCUUAAAAGUUGUAUCCAUUUUAUCUGACAAAUGCACCAGCUGGUAUUAGGUAUCCCAGUGUAUCCAAAUAUGGGAAAUCUUCACAUCUCCAUUUUCUCAUCAGGACGGAAGGAGAGAAAUCGUCUGUUGAGUGUUCAGUUUAACUUUUGCCUACUGAUAUUUUCAAAGGGCACCCAGGUUUGAAAAUGUUGUUCUGAGUAUUUAAAUUUAAAUUCAAAUACUGUUUCUUCACUUCCCUACAUGAAAAUGCUACUAUAAUUUCUGUAAUAUGUUGGUACAACAUAACUUUACUCCUGUAGACUGAAAUAUCCUAGAUUACCCCCACUGUCAUGCUUCUCAAAUGGCACAUUAUGAUAAUUAGCACCAUGUAAUUAAUAUUUUUAUUAAUAAAUCUGUACUUAUAAUAAAAGUUUUAAUAGACGUUGACCUCUCACAAGGUAAUUUAAAAGAUUCAAUGGAUACACAGGUUUACGGUAAUAAAGGAAUAGAUUGAAAACUAAUAUUCCACCGACAAGUUGUAUAAUUAACAAGGGGAGUAGCAAAUGAAAUAUAAUUAGAAUCCAAAUAUCAGAGGGGUAGCCGUGUUAGUCUGGUUCUGUAAAAGCAGCAAAGAAUCCUGUGGCACCUUAUAGACUAACAGACGUUUUGCAGCAUGAGCUUUCGUGGGUGAUACCCACUUCGUCGGAUGCAAGACAUGCUAUAAGGAAAUCAGCACUGCUAGCCUUCCAUACUUCCAGUUGUAGCUAAAACCUAUUUUAUUCUUACUGUACU